ACCUGGUUGAUCCUGCCAGUAGUUAUAUGCUUGUCUCAAAGACUAAGCCAUGCAAGUGUUAGUAUGAACUGAUUUUAUAGUGAAACUGCGAAUGGCUCAUUAAAUCAGUUAUAGUUUAUUUGAUGGAUAUGCUGUUCAGGCACUACAUGGAUAACUGUAGUAACAUAGAGCUAAUACAUGCUUAAAGAUCUGACCUUACGGAAGGAUUUGCACAUAUUAGAUUUCAAACCAAUAUCCUUUCGGGGAUUCUUUGGUGAUUCAUAAUAUCUGAACAAAUCGCAUGGUCUUGUACCGGCGAUGUAUCAAUCAAGUUUCUGCCCUAUCAACUUGAUGUUAGUGUAUUGUACUAACAUGGUGAUAACGGGUGACAGAGGAUUAGGGUUCGAUCCUGGAGAGGGAGCAUGAGAAACGGCUACCAUUUCUAAGGAAAGCAGCAGGCGCGGAAAUUAUUCAAUGGUAAUAUCUUACCGAAAUAGUGACAAAAAAUACCGAUGUUCUUCACUUUGUGAUGAACAAUUGGAAUGGACACAAUCCAAACCUCUUAGUGAGUAACAAUUAGAGGGCAAGUCUGGUGCCAGCAGCCGCGGUAAUUCCAGCUCUAAUAGCGUAUAUUAAUACUGUUGCAGUUAAAACGCUCGUAGUUGAACCUAGAAUUAUUACAAGUUGUUUUACUUGAUUGUAAAAUGCUUGCUUAAUUCUUAUCUACUGGAUACUCUACUCUGUACUUAAUUGUAUGGAGUAUCGCCUAGCCAGCGAAGUUGUGGUUAAUUAGCUCCUGUCAUUGUACUAUGGUGUAAAAAACCUGAAGUAUGAUCAUGGGGUCAAGUUAAUUAAUUAUAAUGGGGUGCCAGUUAAUUUACUUUGAGUAAAUUAGAGUGUUCAAAGCAGCUUCUUGGGGCUUUGAAUAGUUUAGCAUGGGAUAAUGAAAUAGGAUUGGAUUCCUAUUUGUUGGUUUAAUGAAUCCAAUAAUGAUUAAGAGGGACAGUUGGGGGCACUCAUAUUAAGUGGUUAGCGGUGAAAUGUGUUGACCCACUUAAGAUGAACUAAAGCGAAAGCAUUUGCCAAGGAUGUUUUCAUUAAUCAAGAACGAAAGUUAAGGGAUCGAGGACGAUUAGAUACCGUCGUAGUCUUAACUAUAAACUAUGCCGACCAGGGAUAUGAGUAGUUUAUUUCUGGAUCAGUUUUCUGAUUCAGAUACUUCUCCUUAUGCACCUUGUGAGAAAUCAUAAGUUUUUGGGUUCUGGGGGAAGUAUGGUCGCAAGGCUGAAACUUAAAGGAAUUGACGGAGGGGCACCACCAGAAGUGGAGCGUGCGGCUUAAUUUGACUCAACACGGGAAAACUUACCAGGUCCAGACAUUUGAAGGAUUGACAGAUUGAUAGCUCUUUCAUGAUUAAAUGGGUGGUGGUGCAUGGCCGUUCUUAGUUGGUGGAGUGAUUUGUCUGGUUAAUUCCGAUAACGAACGAGACCUUUACCAGCUAAAUAGUAAUUAUUAGAACUUGUUCUAGUAAGAUAUACUUCUUAGAGGGACUAUUGGUUUUUAAACCAAAGGAAGUAAAGGCGAUAACAGGUCUGUGAUGCCCUUAGAUGUUCUGGGCUGCACGCGCGCUACAAUGAUCAACUCAUCAAGUUAUCUCAACUUGUUUGUGAUUUACUUUUCCUGAAGGAGUGGUUAAUCUUCAACGUUGAUCGUGCUUGGGAUAGAUAAUUGUAAUCAUUUAUCUUGAACAAGGAAUUCCUAGUAAUCGUAAUUCAUCAGAUUGCGAUGAUUACGUCCCUGCCCCUUGUACACACCGCCCGUCGCUGCUACCGAUUGAAUAAUCCGGUGAACUCGUCGGAUUGUGGUAAAUAUUUAGCUUUCGGGUUAAAUUUUGCUGCGAGAAGUUGAGUAAACCAUGUUAUUUAGAGGAAGCAAAAGUCGUAACAAGGUUUCCGUAGGUGAACCAGCGGAAGA
rnacentral:rRNA from 1 species